GAUGAGAACGCAGCGAAAUGCGAUAAGUAAUGUGAAUUGCAGAAUUCAGUGAAUCAUCGAAUCUUUGAACGCACAUUGCGCCCCCUGGCAUUCCGGGGGGCAUGCCUGUUCGAGCGUCAUUACAACCCUCAAGCUCUGCUUGGUAUUGGGCUCUGCUGGGACCGGCAGGCCUUAAAAUCAGUGGCGGCGCCACUCGGCUUCAAGCGUAGUAAUUCUUCUCGCUUCGGAGACCCGGGUGCGUGCUAGCCAGCAACCCCCAACUUUCUUAGGUUGACCUCGGAUCAGGUAGGGAUACCCGCUGAACUUAAGCAUAUCAAUAAGCGGAGGA
rnacentral:misc_RNA from 1 species